GAUGGUUCGAUUAGUCUUUCGCCCCUAUACCCAGUUCAUACGAUCGAUUUGCACGUCAGAAUCGCUACGGACCUCCAUCAGGGUUUCCCCUGACUUCAUCCUGACCAGGCAUAGUUCACCAUCUUUCGGGUCCCAGCGUGUACGCUCUUGGUGCGCCACAACUUGCAAUAAGUAUGCAACGCCCCGGGAAUGCGAGGUUACAUAUAUAACGUAACCCAUCUUCCCUUUAUAAAAAUAUAUAUAAUUAAUAAAAAUUAUACAUAUAUACAAUUCACUUUCAUUACGCCUUUAGGUUUAUUAUAAAUACCCAAUGACUUGCGCACAUGCUAGAUG
rnacentral:rRNA from 1 species